rnacentral:rRNA from 1 species
UACGUAGGGUGCGAGCGUUGUCCGGAAUUAUUGGGCGUAAAGAGCUCGUAGGCGGUGUGUCACGUCGGCCGUGAAAACCUGCAGCUUAACUGUGGGCGUGCGGUCGAUACGGGCAUCACUGGAGUUCGGCAGGGGAGACUGGAAUUCCUGGUGUAGCGGUGAAAUGCGCAGAUAUCAGGAGGAACACCGGUGGCGAAGGCGGGUCUCUGGGCCGAUACUGACGCUGAUGCUCGAAAGCUAGGGGAGCAAACGGG